ACGUAGGGAGCAAGCGUUGUUCGGAUUUACUGGGCGUAAAGGGCGCGUAGGCGGCAUAUCAAGUCAGCUGUGAAAUCUCCGAGCUUAACUCGGAACGGUCAGCUGAUACUGUUUUGCUAGAGUGCAGAAAGGGCAAUCGGAAUUCUCGGUGUAGCGGUGAAAUGCGUAGAUAUCGAGAGGAACACCUGCGGCGAAGGCGGGUUGCUGGGCUGACACUGACGCUGAAGCGCGAAAGCUAGGGGAGCGAACGGGA
rnacentral:rRNA from 1 species